rnacentral:tRNA from 1 species
GCAUCCAUGGCUGAAUGGUGAAAGCGCCCACCAACCUAGAAAGGAAAAUUGGGUCAAAAAGUAGGUUCGAUUCCUGCCGGAUGCA